GUUCUGGCGAUCCCACUUCAGCAAUAAAUGGAUCUCACUCAAAAACAAAUACGUAAUAACGUUUUGUUUCAAUCUAAAACCAAAGACCUUGAUAAAAAAAAAACCUAAACGCCAAAAUCCAAAAGUCGAAGACGUCGAUUGUGUAACGUCCACCACCAUCAAAGCUAUUAAAAGCUUCAACUCAUCCAUACUCAUCAUCUCUCUCCCCAAUCCAAAUCUCCUCUGGUAGCUUCCAUGGAUGAGAAACAGUCAGAUUUCCAGAUCCAAAGCUUUGAAUAAAUCUAGCACCAAAGCUCCGGCAAUAUCAACCAGUGCAUCUACGUCUAAGAAUCCAGCGAAAUCACCACUAAAGCUCCAACUGAAUCGACCACCAGUUCCAUGGAUAAGAAAAAAGGCUUCGAAUCCUGCAAAAAGAAAGAUCCUCAUAGGGCUUGAUCUGUUAUUUAUGGCAAAGAGGUCCAUAAAGAAAAGCCGUGUGGAUUGUGUCGAUUUCUUCAUCAGAAGUUUCUAUGGAUCCGUGAAAACCCAUUUGAUACAGCCUGGUGAUGUCUGUUUUAGAGGUAAGAAUGCAAUACAUGCCAUUGUCCAUAUCAGAUGCUGGAGGUUGAGAAGACAAUACAGGAGGCGAAGAAGGCAAGUCUCUAUCUUCAUAGGAUCCCUCAUAAUGUUCCUUCUCAAGAGUUAAAAGGAGUUAUUACGGGAGAUUUCAAAGUCGAGGUUAAGCCACCAAAGAAGCUAGGACCUUAUUAUAGUGCAGAAGUUGUUUUUAA